ACUCAAAUGAAUUGACGGGGGCCCGCACAAGCGGUGGAGCAUGGGGUUUAAUUCGUCACUAACCGAAGAACCUUACCCAGACUUGACAUCCCCGGACCGCCUGGGAAACCAGGUUUCCCCGCAAGGGGCCGGGAGACAGGUGUUGCAUGGCUGUCGUCAGCUCGUGUCGUGAGAUGUUGGGUUAAGUCCCGCAACGAGCGCAACCCUCACCGCAUGUUGCCAGUGGAAACACGCACUCAUGCGGAACUGCCGGGGCAACCCGGAGGAAGGCGGGGAUGACGUCAAGUCGGCAUGGCCCUUACGUCUGGGGCUACACCCAUGCUACAAUGGAUCGGACAGAGGGCAGCAAGACCGUGAGGUGGAGCGAAUCCCAAAAACCGGUCCUCAGUUGGGAUUGGAGUCUGCAACUCGACUCCAUGAACGCGGAAUCGCUAGUAACCGCCGGUCAGCGAAACGGCGGUGAAUCCGUUCCCGGGCCUUGUACACACCGCCCGU
rnacentral:rRNA from 1 species